rnacentral:rRNA from 1 species
ACGCUCGACACCUACGGGGGCAGCAGUAGGGAAUCUUCCACAAUGGACGCAAGUCUGAUGGAGCAACGCCGCGUGAGUGAAGAAGGUCUUCGGAUCGUAAAACUCUGUUGUUAGAGAAGAACACGAGUGAGAGUAACUGUUCAUUCGAUGACGGUAUCUAACCAGCAAGUCACGGCUAACUACGUGCCAGAGCGCGUAAGUACUCGAGCGGGCGGUGGCGAAGGACG